rnacentral:rRNA from 1 species
GAUGAACGCUGGCGGCGUGCUUAACACAUGCAAGUUGAGCGAGAAGUUUUUAUCAGAAGUCUUCGGACGGACGAUAGGAAUGGAAAGCGGCGGACGGGUGAGUAACGCGCGGGUAACCUACCUCUUACACAGGGAUAGCCAUUGGAAACGAUGAUUAAUACCUGAUAAUGUAUCCAUAUCGCAUGAUAAGAUAUCAAAGAGUUAUUGGUAAGAGAUGGACCCGCGUCUGAUUAGCUAGUUGGUGAGAUAACAGCUCACCAAGGCGACGAUCAGUAGCCGGCCUGAGAGGGUGGACGGCCACACUGGAACUGAGACACGGUCCAGACUCCUACGGGAGGCAGCAGUGGGGAAUAUUGCACAAUGGGGGGAACCCUGAUGCAGCAACGCCGCGUGAACGAAGAAGGUUUUCGAAUCGUAAAGUUCUUUUUUUAGGGAAGAAACAUGACGGUACCUAAAGAAUAAGCACCGGCUAAAUACGUGCCAGCAGCCGCGGUAAUACGUAUGGUGCAAGCGUUAUCCGGAAUCACUGGGCGUAAAGGGUGCGUAGGCGGCUAAAAAAGUCAGAAGUGAAAGGAUACAGCUCAACUGUGUUAAGCUUUUGAAACUGUUAGGCUAGAGUGCAGUAGAGGAAAGUGGAAUUCCUAGUGUAGAGGUGAAAUUCGUAGAUAUUAGGAGGAACACCAGUGGCGAAGGCGACUUUCUAUGCUGAAACUGACGCUGAGGCACGAAAGCGUGGGUAGCGAACAGGAUUAGAUACCCUGGUAGUCCACGCUGUAAACGAUGAAUACUAGGUGUUGGGAGUGAAAUUUCAGUGCCGCCGCAAACGCAAUAAGUAUUCCGCCUGGGGAGUACGGUCGCAAGACUGAAACUCAAAGGAAUUGACGGGGACCCGCACAAGCAGCGGAGCAUGUGGUUUAAUUCGAAGCAACGCGAAGAACCUUACCAAAUCUUGACAUCCUUAUGAAUAAGCAUGUAAAGUGCUUAGCCUUUCGGGGCAUAAGAGACAGGUGGUGCAUGGUUGUCGUCAGCUCGUGUCGUGAGAUGUUGGGUUAAGUCCCGCAACGAGCGCAACCCUUGUCUUUAGUUGUCAUCAAGUAAAGUUGGACCCUCUAAAGAGACUGCCAGUGAUAAACUGGAGGAAGGUGGGGAUGACGUCAAAAUCAUCAUGCCCCUUAUGAUUUGGGCUACACACGUGCUACAAUGGUCGGUACAACGGGGAGUGAAAGAGUAAUUCUGGAAACGAAAUCCUAAAAAAGCCGAAUCUCAGUUCGGAUUGUGGGCUGCAAACUCGCCCACAUGAAAGUUGGAGUUGCUAGUAAUCGUGAAUCAGAAAUGUCGCGGUGAAAUGCGUUCCCGGGUCU